UUUUCUGUGAUCAGCAACAAAACCCUUGGCAGACUCCUGGUGACCAGCAGCCACCUCAUGGCGACUCCUCACCCCUCCCCCCUCCCUUCAGCGAGGCGGCCAGGGGCUGAGGUGACAGGCACGUGGGGCUGUCCUCAACAGAGGAUAAAAGGGAGGCAAAAACCUGCAAUUUUCACUCAUUUCACUCUGGAACUGACCUGCAGAAAUAAAAUCAACCCUCAGCAAUGUCUCAGGAUGUCCCUCAGACCAGGUAUGUGGCAGGGGCUGUCCCCAACCCCCUCUGCGGCACCCUCAGUGCGGCUCCGUGGCUGAGGGGGUGGACGUGCCCCAGGCCACCCUGUGCCACCAGGCCAUGCCGUGAGCUGACACCGUGCCAUGAGGUGAUGCUGUGAGGUGACACAGUGCCGUGAGGUGAUGCCAUGAGGUGACGCCAUGAGGUGACACAGUGCCGUCAGGUGAUGCCAUGAGGUAACACAAUGCCGUGAGCUGAUGCCAUGAGGUGACACAAUGCCGUGAGGUGACGCCAUGCUCUGAGGUGCUGCUGCAAAAAUUUUCAUCUUGCAUGAGCCAGCAAGAGACGCUCUUUCACCAUUUUGGCGCCCAAACUGUUUACUGUUUAAAACCUGCAGCCAGGUUGUCCCUUCCAAAUAUUUGCAUAUGUAUCAAACCCCGUCAGACUUGGAGGCAGCAGAGGGGUGAACAAUGGCCCCUGCCUAUUUAGGGUCAACCAUUUUGGGGCUCAGGAGCUGCAGGCUGUGUCCCCAAGGUUGGACAUCUUGUUCCUCACACAAGGACAGCCAGAGCCAGGUGCCAUGGCAGGAGCUGAGAUCUGUCAACACCACAGGGAAAGAGCAGCUGCCAAGGGGUGAGCAGAAGGCAAAGGUAAAGGGAAACCUUCAGCUACAAGGCAGUCCAGGUGUGUUUCAGCUGAGAUGAAGGGAAUAUCUGCAGUGAAUGGUGCUAACUGGUGUUGCUUAGAACAAAGUAAGAGCUUUUAAUUUAUAAAUUACCUGUGUAUCUAGUUGGGGCUUACCUACUGGAGGUCUGAUAUCCUGUGAUGCUGUGUGUAAAAAAGUCUGAAAUUCAAUAGCAAGUAUCUAUGCCACCAUGUCAAGUGGGCAUGCUAUCAAAGUCAUGUCCUGUUAUCCCCGGUGCGUUCUGUGCCCCAGUAACACUGCUCCUGCUGCGAGACACAGCCCUGCCCUGGGGGAGGCCAUUAGUGAGGAGCUGCCCAGGAAGCCUCCUCAGUGAAUGGUGCCCCAGCAGGGUGGCCCCACUGCCCCCCCUGGGUCCUGCGGCCCAGUGCACGUUUUGAGGUUCCCAAACCCUGCCAGGUCCUUGCCCCCAUGGCCUCCCGCUGCCAUCGCACGCCUUCCUGAUGGCUGGGCUCCACCAGCUCAAUGCCUCUGAGCAGAGCAUUCCCCUCUUACCAAGUCUUUCCAUGGCGGUGUUUGUGUUUGCAAGCUCCCCAAAACACAGCCGGGUGAAGAAAGCUCCCCCCCCACCUCCAGUGUCUGUGGAGCUCUCAAAUGAGGAAUAAAGCCAUUUGUUUCUAAUUAUAUUUGGCAGCCACUCAGAGAAUUUAGGACUAAAGCAUGCGAAUUUUUUGCUUCUGAUUAAAGCACUUGACCUCGUAAGCAAAAGGCAAAGAUUUCAACACACACCCACAAGUAGGCUAGGAACAAACUGCAGAGAAAAGACAAAAAAAAAUGCUUUGCUUAGAUACACGAAAUAAUUCAUUAUGAAACAAAAGGCAGAAUAUUUAGUGCAUAGCUUGAGCUUGCCUAGGGCUCAUCUAACCACCCAAUUACUGCUUUUAAAGCUGAGAGCAUUUACUCUGAUCUAACACAAACACAACGAGGACCCACAUGCCCAUUGAGUCUGCAGCACACACGUGACUGAGACCCAGUCACUGCCUGCAGGAAGAAAGCAGCUUUCAUGGGGCGAUGUGGGCUCCUGCAGCCCCAGCUCCAAGCCGGUGGGAGAGCUGGGAUGGGACCCAGUGGCAGAGGGUACAGGAGCUGCCUUUAUUGUUAUAUAUUUCCCCAGUUUCUUGGCUGAAAUAGUUCAUGCCCAUCUGAACAUGGGAGAAAAAAAUGGUGGGGUGUUUUUAGCUUUUUUUUUUUUAGUUGCAUGGCUGUUUUGCAAUUAUUUGGGCCUCCUGAGCUCAGGCACUCAUGAAAAGAGUCAGAUUUCCCCCAGGCCCUCCCUGAAACCCUGUGUUUUGCUGUCCCCUGUCCAGCAUCACAACACUAAGGCACAGGGCUGCUCAUCCCAGUGGGUGAAGGCUUCGUCCUUUCCCUGCUGCCUGCUGUGGUCCUGCUGCGGCCCUGCUGCGGCCCUGCUGCCAGGUGCCAUGCCGCCAGCUCCACUUUCAGCUCCCAUAUUUACUAUUUGCCCACUUUACUAGCAGCACAAGGAUGUGUUGCAACUGCAGAAUAGUCAGCUGGCACCCAACCAAGAGAAAUAGCGAUGAUCUUGAUGGCACUUUUUAAAAUAGCAGAGAAACCAGCUCAAACAGAAAUUAACUACCCUGCAAGGUUCUGUGGUCCAUAAAAUUCUUCCCCAGGCUCCAUGGUUUUAAAAUAACAUGAAAGAAAUACUUUCCAUAAAAAGUAGUUAACUAGCAUACAGUUUUUUUUUUUAAAGUCGUAAUUCUGAGAGUCAUACCCAAACAAAAUAGUUAUACAGGCAUUAAAUUAUACAUUAAAGAAGGCCGAUAAAGACAGUGAAUUACAGAGUUACCGUAUUAGAUUUCAGAUAUACAGAUAGCAAGCGUUAUUAACAUUUUUAUUGAAGGUGACCUACAAAAGAGGUACAAAAAAUCUGUGCCACUUCUGAUUUCUUGUAAUGCGGGAAAACAUGAAUCUGAAACAGCUCCAGCCCAAUUGCCAGCCAGUCCCAGUCAGGUCUCCUUACCCUCCCCAUCCUCUCCCCCAGAAAAUUAACAAAGGAGAGGCAGAGGAUGCUUUCUGCUGGGUCUGCAAAUCCAUUGUCUUGGCUGGGAAACUCCUUUGAAGAACAUAAAGUAGAUGUUUUUCUCAGUGCUCACCUGGAACAGUGAGACAGUGAGGUUUUGGUGGGGAAAGGCUUUUCUCCGUGCUUGUGGAGUUGUGAACAAGCAGGGCAGAUUGCAGCAUGGCUAUGUGGUCACUUUCCGAUGGGCUGCCUUCUCCUGGUGGGUUUUGUGCUGCCACUUCAGAAGGGGCAAGCUCCUCACCACCAGCCUGAGCUGAGCUGUGGGGACAUCCUCCGUGGGCUCGCUGGUGCCUGUAAGGGCUGCUCUUGCACUUCACCUUUCCCCACAGUGGCUACAAGCUGUCUCCCCUCUCUGCAGCCUGGCCAUUUCCUAAUGCCCAAAUGGGAACAUGUUUACCUCUGAGCAGCUGCUCCUCCACCCCUGGGGCUGGGAUUGUUUACCAGGGUAUUUUGGUAUUGCUAGUUUUAAAAUUUCUUUGGAAGAAACUGAUGGACAAAUCGAAAUGCUCAGGCACACACAGAAACACACCAUGACUGCAUAAGCAGCAUUUCCUGAGGAAACCAAGCUUAGAAAAUUCGUAUGGCCAAGUGCUGCAGCGUAUUUGCUUUGUCCUGCAGCUGCUGGGCUUUGCUGCCAGGGCGCUGCCACCCUCCCAGCCACGUCCCCCAGCUGCCUGUGGCAUUUGAGGAACUGUAGCUAGAUGAGAGCUGAAUUUCUGAUGGAGAAAGAAAUCAAUAGGGAGUGAAAAAUAUUGAUUUAUAUACAGCACUAACAUAUAGAGCGAGUGUACGUGUGCUCAGUGCCACUGCCGCAUGUGUAGAAGGGGUCCUACACCUUGGCUCGUGCCAGAUGGAUGACGGGAAAAAUCAUUUUCUAAAUGUCUCAUAAGUAAGAAAGUGAGAGCAAUACAAAAUAAUGCAGAAAAGAGAAUAUCUGUUAACCUCUCAGAUACUGAGAACACAGCAUCUUCCAUGAGAGAAAUGAGGUAAGAGGGCCCAUUGCGGUUCUGCAAGCAUGGCUUUCCACAAGGAGCUGGUGAUGUUUUCUCAUGGUGACUGCGAUUCAGAAAUGAAGAAUUCGACUCUAUUCUUCCUGACUGAGUACAGUUAUAGUGGGGCUAGGGUUGGGGAAAAAGCCAUUGGUGAUGUAGGCUGGGGAGUGAGAAGCUGAGGACAGGGGCAGGCAGCAGCAGCAGCGCACAGCUCAGGCUGCUGCAGGGCUGUGGGACAGAGUGGGGACACGCCAGGGCUGCAGGCACAGCCGUGAGCAGGAUCAGUCCUUCCCGUCUGCUGCUACAAACCGAGCACCUCUGUCCCACCAGAGGGAGAGGUGGUGGCUUUAUUCCAGUUUCUUCAUGCAGUGCUGAGUAGUUGGACUUGAGGUUAUUAAUACGCAGGGACUCCAGGCCUCCAGGUGCAGUCUGUCAUUCUGUACCGCCAGUAUCUGCUUGGUGGUGAGCAGCACAUCACACAUAUCGUAAUCAUUACUGUUUGCUUUCAUCAGAAUUUCCCAAAUUCCAUCAUUCCCAUAUUGUCAUCAUAAUCUCCCAAAUACUUCUAAUACCUAGAUGGGCUCCUACAAGGAUGGGCUCAACUAUGGCUCAUUAAGGGUACUUUCCUCUUCCUCAGGUUGUUCUAAAAGGUUGUUUUUACAUCAUGUGUGAAGGCUGCUGUCUAUAGGCAGUCAGACAGCUCACAGUCUGCAGCAGGCAGCGUCCAUGUUGAAGAUUUCAGCUGUGUCCCUGUGCCUUACAAAGGCUGGCCAUGGCUGCUUCCUGAGCUUUUGUCUCAGCUGUAGACUGGAGACAAUCAUUUUCAUAAGGAAAUGUCGAGUAUCACCAUUCCUAGGAGCCCACUUAGGCCUGUAUACUGUGCUUGUGUGUUGUUCUUUUAUCUUGCAGCAUUUACUACUCAAAACGGAGCUUAAAAGAGAUUUUAAAAAAAAAAACAACUCUAUUGGGUUUUGAGUCAAGUAAGGUACCUGCAGAGGGACAAACCUCUGUCUGGGUGUAGUUCUGAUGAAUGCAAAUGCAACAUGUGCCUGAAGCAGCCGUGGGUUGAGGUAACCUGUGCGGAAAGUGAAACCUGAAGGUAAAAACUUUGUGUUCUCUCAAACACUUUGUCUCUUGAUACUUGCAAGAAGUAUCACCCAUCAGCAGAAACCGGAAUGUGUUGCUGAAUCACGCUGGGGCUGAGCCUCCACCUGCUUUUUCAUUACGAACUUCCUGUCUCAGGACUUUAUCUCACAGUAAAGUUCUGUUCCCUGCUGAAGAAUAAGAGAGGGGUGUCUGGAAAAAAGUGCUGCACUUUGCUUUUUUCCUUUAUGGUAGGUUUUGAAUCAGGCAAAGCAGAUCGUUCAUUCAGCUACAGUUCUGUCUGAUAUGAAAGCAAGGGAUGGAGAUGGUGGAUUACAUUUUUCCCACCUGCAGCUAUAUUGCAACCCAACCAAAUAUUAACCAAUAACUGACAUAAAAUAAAUUUGAAAUAAAUAAAACCUGACAAUAAACCACCAAAUUAUGAGUCUACCUCAAUGAGAUCAGCCAAAUCCAUGCCAGUGUGGACAGGCUUCAGAGCCGAACCAGACCUCUUACAAGGCUGCUAUUGAUGCUACUCCUUUCCAAGCUUGUACAAAACAGCUAUAAAAAGCAAAAGAGAAGGAUCUGAACUGCAGCGGUAAAGAAACUGGCCCUGAAGCAGGGGAAGGCAGGGACACUAAGUCAAAAAGACUUAUGUAUGCCAAUGGGUAGGGCAUUUUUUUUCCAGUAAUGUAAAGUGUGGCAUGAAAUGCAUCCAGGUUUCAGCCCUCUGCGUACCGCCAGCGCGUGCAGAGGCAGACACCGACUCCCCUGCUUUCUGUUGUGCUUUUCGCUGGCUUCCUUUGAAUGUGUGUUUGUUUGUUUAUCCCACCCCGCUUGUAACAGAGGCAGGGUAGCUCUGCUCAGGAGGAGCAUCUGUUCCUCAUUGAGAGCCAGCAUUAAGCUACUUUUACAACAGGAUUGAUGGAGGCAGAAGGAGGUCAAAUGAUUUAUCCAAGUUCAGGCGGAGGUCCACUAAAUGGCUCGCCUUAUAGCACCUAUUGAUUAUCCAUCCUGCUUGCUUCAGGGUGCUUUUGCAGGAAAUGUGUGAAUCAAAAGACUGAAAUUGGCAAGACAGAGACCAGCGGUUCCCAACACUGUCCAGCUGUAGCUUUUCGGAUGGGCCCCUCUAAGGCUGUGUAAUAAACAUCCCGAGGAGGGCAGCAGGAGGUGCAAGCUAUUAGAAUUAGGCUGGAUCUCCAUAUGGAACAGAUGCAAUGGAAUUACAGCUGCGCACUGAAUACUUCAAAUAAAGAAACAAGGUGACUUGGAGCCUCUCCAACUCCCCUGUGCCAGCUGGAGAAGCCGCGUUCCUGCUCUGCCCUCCUGCUACCAAGGCUUGUACUGUGCCAGGGCUAUGCUGGCCCUGCUCUUCCAAGCCCCUCCUCAGUCUGAAGUAGCUGGCUUUGGAUACAUUAUUGAUUUUUAUUGCCUCUUAUUCUUUCCCAAAACAACGUGUUUUUUAAUUACACAGUAUUGCUGUAUGCUCUGUUGCUUUGCUGCCUCAUUGCACAGUGACUCAGACGAGCUGAUAGAGCUGUGUGUGAGCUCUAGAGGAACAUAGCAAGACCAGCAGCUUCCCCAAAGUUACUAGCAAUCUGAGUGGGCACAGCAAGAUGCUGGUAGUCUCUGGAUGCUGAGAAAGACAGGGGAAACCAAGAGUACAGACAGCAAGGUCAAAGUAAUAAAUUGUGGUGAAAUACUUCAACAAUGGAAAAUAACUUGGCCUGGCUCCACCGGCAGUGACGAUUUCUUAGUAACGUCCAUGAAUUCCUCACACAGACACACACUUGUGAAGUUUAUGGCCAAUAGCAACAGGAACUAUCUACUGCUUUUGUAGCUAAAGAGUCUCUUCCACCGUUCUUUUUUUAACGGAUCAGUGGCCGAUUUUUCUGUCCACCAAGAAUACGUGCUCUCCAAUCUUUCCUGUUCUGACGGCUUCCUUUUUCUCUCAGGAAGCCCUCUCUGUGUAGUAGGGUUGGCAGGGCAAGGCUGCCCCAAGACCUUGACAUCCUUCUGAGCUCAGUGCCACCAGAGGACCAUCAUCCCCCUAGCACAACAGAGCCAUGACAACCCUUUUCUUCAGCAGCAUCUCAUUGUGGCAGUACGCUGCCCUCCGGUACAGCCAGCACCAUCUGUAGGUGCUUCCACAGCUCUGAACCAGCUGCAUGAACCAGAGAAGCUCCUGUCUGGGCUGAUUAGAGCUCCCAAAAGCAGGCUGUACUUGUCAAAGCAGAGCACCAUACAGAGCAGAGCACCCAAUGCUGUGGUGUCCAUGCCCAUCGCCAUGUCCCAGGCCAUUUGGAGCCCAGCGGGGACCUCUUAGGAGCACCCUGCUGCAGCAUGUCUAUCAGGGCCCUCAGGUCGGCCAGUGCAGAGCAUGCAGCCAGCAAAUGAGCAAGCCCCUGGCCGGGUGAGCAUCCCUUCACCAACAUGGUUGUCCUGGUCAGGUGAGCAGCCUAUGGGGUUUGCCACUGGCAGCUUCUAGGUGGUCACAAGAAUCGGCCUGUUUGCAAAGGGUGAGACAUUUCUGUGCUCGGGUAACAGCUCUGCCCAUCUCUACCUGUUAUCUACACUUCUACCUGUUAUCCUGAAACACACCAUGUAGGAGAGCUCUCUGACCAAAAGUACAAAGAUAACCAUGUAAGAGCUGUGCUGUGAACAUGACUUCUCCCAGCUCGCACUACCAAACUAGCCAACUGCUAACACCCGCAGUGGCACAGAGAGUUUGGUGGAGAAGGCCAAGCACAAGGGGUCAGGGCAAAGUUGAGCUGCUAGACACCAGCAGAGGUUGGUCUCAGAGCACGCCUGUAAAAAGCCUGUGCUUGUCUGUUGAACUCAGAUGGCGUUUUUGUUCUUCAAGCUCAAACAGCUGCUCCUGCUGCCAUGGGGGUGCAGGGGUGUCAUUCAAGGCCAGAGUUUUGGAUGGAGACUGUUCACUGCAAAUGUCUCACAGCUGACCUGGGCACUUGUCCUCCACUGGACUCUCUCCAGAAAAAAAGAUGUGUUAAAGCAGAUGUACUCCAACAAGUUUUAAUUUCAAGCAGACUGAGGGCACCUUUAAUGCAGCUUGGCUUGUGCUUACUACUGUGGGAGCAUGGGAAGACUGAGUGUUGGCACAGCAUUUCACUGACCAACAGCAUCAACGCUGUGAAGAGAACAGGAGGAAAGCAACAGCCUGACAAAGCUCUUCUGGGCUACAGCGAACAUUGCUGAAAGUGAUCUAGUCGGCUCUCCCAGGGAAACUUUGAUUUAUCCAGCUUGAGUGUGGUAAGAAAAGAGAAUUUGUACUCAGCCAUGGAGUUGGUUGUGCCUUCAUUUCACUCCCUGUGUAUCUAGCUAUCUGCACUUAAGCAGAUAUAAAGUCUGACCAGAGCAGGCUUCAUUGGCUUGGCUUCUUUGCAAAUGAGAGGCAGCUAUGUGCAUGGAGGAGACCUCACUUCCCUGGCAUACGUUUCUAUGGCUCACUUGUUGUGCAGCUGGAAAAAAAAAAAAAAAAAAAAAAAAAAAAAAACAGCUAACUUACCUGUGUGGUGAGCAUCUUUCCUCUCAUUUCCACCACUGGCAGCAGGUCCAAAGGGUCUCUUCAUGCAGAAUUGUGAAAAAAACAGAUAUGCUUGUGGUGCCUUACCGCGCGCUCCAGCUCUGCUCGGUGGUCCCACGCUUCUGGGCCUGGGGCUGCUUGUCCUGGCAAACAGGCCUCCUGCACCGAGCAUCCGGCACGCAGGCGGUGUCAGAGAAUGCACGAACACGGCUGCUUUCAUUAGCAGGCAUGCAGCAUGCUGAAAUUUGUGUAGUCCUGGGUUGAAUGAAUGUGAGGAAUUCAUAGAAAUCCUCAUAAAUCUUCAUCGUUUCACUUUCACUGAGGUUUGUUAUUAUCCCUCUUUUAAUUUUGUUUGCUUUUUUUUUUCAUUAACCAUGGUCUUGUUUAGAAGUUUCCUCUCUCCAGUGAGGGAGAAUUAAAACGCUCUGUUUGGCAGAGCUGGUGAACCGCACCAGCUGCAUACUAACCAGCACGAGUGGGGCUUGCAAGCAGCGUGCAGGCACAGACGUGACCUAGGCCUUUGCUUCAGCAAGUGGCCUUCAAGGAAAACCCUGGCACACAUCCUCGUGAACAAUGCAGCUACCUGGAGGAGUGACCUGGUGCUAAUCUUGGUUGCGCUGGCUUUGGGGAUCUUAUUGCAAGCCUUGUGAUAUUUGGCCACCUGCCUCAUCUAACACCAGCUGCUGGAGUCCUGCAGUUAGUAUUUUUAUAUAUGUGAUCAGAUGAUGAUAUGAUUUUAUGCAUUUAUGCAUGUUUAUGCACAUGAUUAUGUGAUGAUUUGGCUAAUCUGCACACUUUUAAAAGGAUCAGUACCUUGAAACACUCCCUGAGGUAACCAGUGUCCUUAGAUACCACAGGGAGUCACCGAGGUGGGGCUGAGAGGAAUGAGGAACUCAAGGCUCUGUGAAGGGUAGCUGAGCAUCAGGGACCUGAGGAAACGAGUCUAAUGGUGGCUAACAUGCCCACCGUUGGCAUCUUCCCUCCCCUGAGGUAAAGGUGGGCCACAAGCUGUGAUAUGAGGCCACCAAAACGCCCAUGUCCUUGGGAAGGUGGCUGCGUCUCAUCCUGGCAGCUCUCGGGGAGGUGAGCUCUUGCUGAGCUCAUGACAGCUUUGCCUCCCCCGGCCUCCAAAAAGCAAACAAAAAAAGAGGAGGUUUUGGUCUACCAGCAGCAAUGAUCCCCACAGCCUCUGACUGUGCGUGUGUGUUUCUGGGGAGGUGGCCUUGGCAUCUCCCUUGCCCAGCGUUAUGUGCCUUGGUACCCAUUUUCUACUAGU